AGCAGCCGCGGUAAUUCCAGCUCCAAUAGCGUAUAUUAAAGUUGUUGCAGUUAAAAAGCUCGUAGUUGAAUUUCGGGAUCAAUACGUCGGUCGUGCCUCUGGUAUGUACUGGUGUUAUUGAUUUCUCCCUUCUGAUGAACCAUGAUGUCAUUAAUUUGGUGUUGUGUGGAGUCAGGACUGUUACUUUGAAAAAAUUAGAGUGUUUAAAGCAGGCUCACGCUUGAAUACACUAGCAUGGAAUAAUGAAAUAGGACGUUCGAUCCUAUUUUGUUGGUUUCUAGGAUCAACGUAAUGAUUAAUAGGGAUAGUUGGGGGCAUUAGUAUUCAAUUGUCAGAGGUGAAAUUCUUGGAUUUAUUGAAGACUAACUACUGCGAAAGCAUUUGCCAAGGAUGUUUUCAUUAAUCAAGAACGAAAGUUAGGGGAUCGAAGACGAUCAGAUACCGUCGUAGUCUUAACCAUAAACUAUGCCGACUAGGGAUCGGAUGAUGUUAAUUUUUAAUGA
rnacentral:rRNA from 1 species